GAUUAAAUGGCUGAAAUUUAGGCAAUAGAUUGUAAAUCUUUUUAUGGGUUAUUCCCUUUAAUCA
rnacentral:tRNA from 1 species